rnacentral:lncRNA from 1 species
CUAAUUACCAAAAAAUCUCUGUGUAGUGAUAUUUGACACUUUUCUUUGAUAAACAAGUGACUGAGCUUAACCAGAAUAAAUGUGUAAAAUCUAAGGAGCUAUUGAAUGUGUUCAAAGUAUUAAAUUUUCAAAGAACUUAUUGUGUUAAAAAUGGGAGUUGUUACCACGAGGAGCCGCAUCACAAAAGGAUACUCGGGGUUUGCUAAUUUACGGAA